rnacentral:rRNA from 1 species
CCUGGCUCAGAACGAACGCUGGCGGAGUGCUUAAUACAUGCAAGUCGAGCGAGAAAGUAUCUUCGGGUAAUGAGUAGAGCGGCGAACGGGUGAGUAACACGUAAGCAACCUUCCCUUAAGUUCGGAAUAACCCUGCUAACGCGGGGCUAAUACCGGAGAAAUUUUAAUGCCUCAUGGUAUAAAAAUCGAAGCGGCUUUUGUCGUGCUUGAGGAUGGGCUUGCGCCCCAUUAGUUAGUUGGUAAGGUAACGGCUUACCAAGGCGACGAUGGGUAGCCGACCUGAGAGGGUGAUCGGCCACAUUGGGACUGAGAUACGGCCCAGACUCCUACGGGAGGCAGCAGUAGGGAAUUUUGCGCAAUGGACGAAAGUCUGACGCAGCAACUCCGCGUGAGGGAUGACGGUUUUCGGAUUGUAAACCUCUGUUGACAGGGAAGAACCCUGAGUUUAACAAGCUCAGCUGACGGUACCUGUCGAGGAAGCCCCGGCUAAAUACGUGCCAGCAGCCGCGGUAAUACGUAUGGGGCGAGCGUUGUUCGGAAUCACUGGGCGUAAAGCGAAUGUAGGCGGAUAUGUAAGUUAGGAGUUUAAGACGGCGGCUCAACCGACGGAGUGCUCUUAAUACUGUAUAUCUUGAGUAUGGGAGAGGAAGAUGGAAUUCCAAGUGUAGCGGUGGAAUGCGUAGAUAUUCGGAAGAACACCAGUUGCGAAGGCGGUCUUCUGGCCCAAUACUGACGCUGAGGUUCGAAAGCAAGGGGAGCGAACAGGAUUAGAUACCCUGGUAGUCCUUGCCGUAAACGAUGGAUACUAGUUGUAGGUACUUUCGGGUAUCUGUGACGCAGCUAACGCAUUAAGUAUCCCGCCUGGGGAGUACGCUCGCAAGAGUGAAACUCAAAGGAAUUGACGGGGGCCCACACAAGCGGUGGAGCAUGUGCUUUAAUUCGAUGCAACGCGAAGAACCUCACCUGGCCUUGACAUGUGGAUAACCUCUUUCAGAGAUGAGAGAUUUCCUUCGGGAUAUCCAACACAGGUGCUGCAUGGUUGUCGUCAGCUCGUGUCGUGAGAUGUUGGGUUAAGUCCCGCAACGAGCGCAACCCUCAUCCUUAGUUGCCAUCAGGUAAUGCUGGGAACUCUAAGGAGACCGCCCGGUUUAACCGGGAGGAAGGUGGGGAUGACGUCAAAUCAUCAUGGCCCUUACGGCCAGGGCUAGACACGUGCUACAAUGGCCGGUACAGAGGGUUGCUAAGCCGCGAGGUGGAGCUAAUCCCAUAAAACCGGUCUCAGUUCAGAUUGGAGUCUGCAAUUCGACUCCAUGAAGUUGGAAUCGCUAGUAAUCGCGGAUCAGCAUGCCGCGGUGAUACGUUCCCGGGCCUUGUACACACCGCCCGUCAAGCCACGAAAGGUGGUAGUGCCCGAAGUCCCC